GCGGGAUUGGUGUAGUGGUAUCACGCCAAGUUUGGGUCUUGGAGGUCCUCGGUUCAAUCCCGUGAUCCCGCC
rnacentral:tRNA from 1 species